AGAGCGAACGCUGGCGGCAGGCUUAACACAUGCAAAUCGAGCGGGCGUAGCAAUACGUCAGCGGCAGACGGGUGAGUAACGCGUGGGAACGUACCUUUUGGUUCGGAACAACACAGGGAAACUUGUGCUAAUACCGGAUAAGCCCUUACGGGGAAAGAUUUAUCGCCGAAAGAUCGGCCCGCGUCUGAUUAGCUAGUUGGUGAGGUAAUGGCUCACCAAGGCGACGAUCAGUAGCUGGUCUGAGAGGAUGAUCAGCCACAUUGGGACUGAGACACGGCCCAAACUCCUACGGGAGGCAGCAGUGGGGAAUAUUGGACAAUGGGCGCAAGCCUGAUCCAGCCAUGCCGCGUGAGUGAUGAAGGCCCUAGGGUUGUAAAGCUCUUUUGUGCGGGAAGAUAAUGACGGUACCGCAAGAAUAAGCCCCGGCUAACCUUCGCGCCAGCAGCCGC
rnacentral:rRNA from 1 species